rnacentral:lncRNA from 1 species
GUCUUGGUGAAAACGGUGAGACAUGGAGAGAUGGGCUCAGAUAGAGAACAGUGGAGCUUACAGUUGUGUGGGAGCAUCUUCUACUGAUAUAAACACUAAUAGACAUACAGGAGGGAGAUUGCUGGGAGACUGGAGGGAGAGGGGGGUCAGAGCUGCACAUUCAAUAUACACAGCUAUGUGAGGCUGGAUGGAGAGAUCUGACCUAUCUGGGUGGUAAAUAGAAUUACAGAUCAUUGAUUUUUAUUAUUUUUGCAAAAAGGAGGAGGUUAAAAAAAAUAUUUAGGCUACCAGGCUGGCUGUGACUAUGAGCCAACUGAUGGGGUUUGGUUCUAGACUAGAGACAUUUAAACCAUGGUCUGAUUUAAGAUGAACAUUGAAAGCCCAGAGAAGGACAGUGUGAAGAGAUCUGGAGUGGAUCACAGUUAGGUCUUCUGCUGCAAGUUCUGGACAGCUGAUGGCAGGAGGUGUGUGCCUAGUUUUCUGCGGAGGAGUGAAGUUUGGGGACCAUGACUGACAUCACUCUCAGCCAUAACAUCAUCUAAUGGUUCUGCAGGAAAGUUGUGCUCAGUUUAGCCCUCCUUCUGCCUCUCUCCUGCUUUGAAGAUACUAAAGAUGCUAAAGGUACUUUGGGAUUAAGGACAUGGGAGGAGAAGGUAAGGGGUUAAUGCUGUCUCUCUGAUAACCUGUAAAGAGAGUUUGGACUUUUGCUGCUGAUCCUGGAGAGUGCCACUGACAGACUGCUGGGGAUCUGGCUUCCCUGGGUUUGUGCAGGCUUGUAAUUAGUUGGGUUAUCUUCCUACACAUGUAUCUAAAUGUCAAGAAGAAGCUUUUCUUAACCCCCUACUGGAGUUAGGAGCAAAGAGCCUGCACAGAGCCAGAAUUCAGAUAUCAGCCUCCCUACAUACUGGGGUCCUUUCAUCAAACACAGAUCCAUCACUGAUUGCACAGCUAUCCAAAUGUGAGAGGCGUUUAAACAUGCACCACCUCUAGGAAAAAAACAAUUAAAUACUAAUCCACAAAACAGGAUCUGUACAAAAAAAAACUAAACAAGGCAGACUGGGAUUGGUGUAAAAAUGGCUGGCUCAGAGUGAUGGGAAGGAGGACUUGCCCAUCAUAUCUUCAUCAGAUGUUUUUUUGUUUUUUGUUGGAACAGUUUCACCAUAUUUUUCUGUAUUGUGUAUUUCUCAGAGAUCCAGAGUGAAGUAGAUCUAAGUGUCCUAUCUAUUUCAUGGCUGCAAAUCAGCUUUGAUUACACUGAGAAUGCACGUUGAGUGUAAUAAAGUCUGCUCAUUUGCAGCAGGAAAGAUCUCUAAUUAAUGCUUCCUUAAUCAGCAUCCAACUAUGAUAUCCCUCAUUAGUAAAAUCACAUCAGGCAGUCUGUGCAUUGGAAAAGGCAGUGGAGAUAGAAAAAGGGUGUAUCUCUUUAAGAUAAGCCACUUACCCACUACCUACAUUUGUAUAAUUUGGUUCCAUGCUCUUCGUGCCCCAGUGAUCAGGGGGAAGAUCCCAGAACCUAGCUGAUAUACCAGGCUCUCUGCAUGAUGGACCUCUUGGCAUAUAUGGAUUGUAUUCACACAGCAGGUAAUGGAUCCAAAUACCUUACUACCUAUUUUGUUAGAAGCCAUUUGCCAGCUGUGGUUAAGCCCAAAGCAUUAGACUAUCCAUCACAUGAUAAGUGCAGCACUGUGAAUUUAAGGACCAUUUUUGCUGUGUAAAAUGCAACAUUAAACUCUGAUUUCAAGUGGGAUAAGGAGUUUAAACAAGGUUGACUUUGGAGAGGGUGAUGUUAAGGUAACAGCUGUAAUAUUUAAAAAAAAAAAAAGGGGGGGGGAUGAAUUUAAGAUGUAGUUCAUUGCACAGAAAGAUGAACUGCGUUUUGCCUUGAAUAAUCAAUGGGAUUAAACAAUGAAUCAUGCCUACUUUUGAACUAUAUUUGAUGCUGUCAGACCCAAUACUGUAUGUUGAAUAAAGCUUUUGUGUGAAUGAAGGUUUUGUUCAUUUGUAGGCAGUCAUGAGGACUGGUGAGAAUUAUUGACUGUGUUUUCUCUCUCUCUCUCUCUCUCUCUCUCUCAGAAUCAAUGAUCUAAUACAGAGUGUAACAUGAAU